rnacentral:lncRNA from 1 species
UAGAUCUAUGACAAUACGAAGUCGUUCUUCAGGCUGAAGGGUGAGACAAGCUGGCAGAUCAGAAGUGCAGGGGACGAGCCCUUCCUCUGAGUGAGGGGUGGCAAGAAGCAUGGUUGGACCCUGACCCCUGCAGUGGGAAUUUAUACUGACAGAAAAAGAGCGCAUAUGGGCUGAGGACGCAAGCGGACCUUGGAAAGCCAGUCUACUAUCGCACUUUUACUAAAAUGAGAUGCUAGGUCAGGAGGACAGCAGUGACACUCAGCCCACCUCGCACCAGUCGUGGCUACCUGUUCAUAUCUCAUGGGACUCUAGUAUUUUAUAAAACACAGUUUGGGGAAUGUUUUCUUGAAAUGAUCGCUUCCAAUCUGAAAUCACAGGAUGGGGUCAUUGGACGAUGGCUCAUUCUGUUUGGGAGGUCGGGGGCAAUGGAAGAUCAGAAAUGAGACAGUGAGAGCAACCAAAGGUAUGUGGGGUCGAGCUAGUGGGAGAACACUGAUGGCCAAGGGCCAGCGUGGCUCCUGGUUUGUGCAGGUGGUGUUAUUGGACAAGGCAGAAAGAAGGGGCACCUGGGUCUUGGGGCAGCUCUGGAGCUUGUGGAGAGUCCUUUAGAGCCCCGAGAAGGGGCCAAGGGGACCAUCACUCCGGCGGCUUAGGGCACAGGCUUCUGGGCCCUGAUGACCUCGGGCCUGCUGCUAGAGGCGGAUGGCCAAAGAGAACAUUCAUUCUCAACAAAGGGACACAGAGACCACCAGCCCGCGGGAGUGCACAUUGGCCCAGGAGUCAGAAGAGCAAAAGGAAAGACUCGCAGGAAGCUGCUAAAAUAGUCCAUAAAGAGCUGUGUACCCCUCACCCAGCUUCCCCCCGUGGUGGCAUCUUACGUGACUGCAGUGCAAGGUCAAAACCGGGACGCUGGCUGACAGUGGUACUGCCGUUGACUAGACUGCAGACCGUGUUCAGUUUCCACCAGGGAAUAGCAAAAGUUUUUCCAGAACACCUUUCAACAGACUUUUGUCUACAUUUCACUGACUUGAACUGUGUUACACAGCCAUUUCUAGCUAGAGGCGUG